AGAGUUUGAUCAUGGCUCAGGACGAACGCUGGCGGCGUGCUUAACACAUGCAAGUCGAACGGAAAGGCCCGCUUGCGGGUACUCGAGUGGCGAACGGGUGAGUAACACGUGGGCAACCUGCCCUCAGCUCUGGGAUAACACCGGGAAACCGGUGCUAAUACUGGAUAUCAACUUCUGUCCGCAUGGGUGGUUGUUGAAAGUUUUUCGGCUGGGGAUGGGCCCGCGGCCUAUCAGCUUGUUGGUGGGGUAAUGGCCUACCAAGGCGACGACGGGUAGCCGGCCUGAGAGGGCGACCGGCCACACUGGGACUGAGACACGGCCCAGACUCCUACGGGAGGCAGCAGUGGGGAAUAUUGCGCAAUGGGCGGAAGCCUGACGCAGCGACGCCGCGUGAGGGAUGACGGCCUUCGGGUUGUAAACCUCUUUCAGCUCUGACGAAGCGAGAGUGACGGUAGGAGCAGAAGAAGCACCGGCCAACUACGUGCCAGCAGCCGCGGUAAUACGUAGGGUGCAAGCGUUGUCCGGAAUUAUUGGGCGUAAAGAGCUCGUAGGCGGUCUGUCGCGUCGAAUGUGAAAACCCGGGGCUCAACCCCCGGGCCUGCAUUCGAUACGGGCAGACUAGAGUUCGGUAGGGGAGUCUGGAAUUCCUGGUGUAGCGGUGAAAUGCGCAGAUAUCAGGAGGAACACCGGUGGCGAAGGCGGGACUCUGGGCCGAUACUGACGCUGAGGAGCGAAAGCGUGGGGAGCGAACAGGAUUAGAUACCCUAGUAGUCC
rnacentral:rRNA from 1 species